GGUGAGUCUGGUAGACCAGUUACUGCUGGUACCAUCUCCCAGGAGGUACAGCGUGACCAAUGAUGAGUGAAGCUCCUGACCAGGUGCUACCAAGACUGCACGGGCCAGGGAGUCCUUGUCCCAUAGUGCACUGGGUGUGUCCCAUAGCGCACUGGACCCAGACACUGGCACAGCGGUCUAAGCAUCAUUCCUCCAGUGGGCACUGACACUAAUGAGCUAGCAGUCUGAAAAAACAGCAGAAGACUCUUUGAAGACAUUCUUUAUUCCAGUGCAGAAUCCUCCAUCUGUUCCUCGAAUCGCAACACUCCGUGCAAGCAGUUAUCGGAGUCCUGGGUCAGUGAUGUGAAUCCCUGGCCACUCUUUACAGCCUCUGGAUGCUCAAAUCUCUCGGUCGCCUGUGCCAAAACCAUAGGGAAGUCUGCUCUGGCCCAUGUUCACACAUUUGAUGGACAAUUCUGCCAGUUUUCCGACAGGAGGAAAAACAAUCAGCCCCAGUAAGACUUAUGAGUUGCUCCGACUACUGCCCUUUCAAAGUCCGGUUGAGGAACAGGGAAAACAGAAAGUGAGGUCAGAGCAUCUCACCACGGUCACCAUCGAGGUGACCCCGCCCCAUUUCUGAGGCAGAGGGUACUUGCUCUGCAGGAGGAUGAAAAACAGCCUCAGUGGAAGAGGCAGGCUGCUCGACGACAGAGCGGAUGUAGAG
rnacentral:lncRNA from 1 species